rnacentral:lncRNA from 10 species
GGGAAGCUCCACAUUCAGACAGGCCUGGUGCAGACGCCGGUGUCCUGGCAGCACCUAAAUCAUUAGUGCCGCGGAGAUUAGGAUACUAAUCUCCUUGUUGGGUGGAGCGGUGCCAGCCACCAGCCUGCGGAUCAUGCUGCUCUUUUGCAGGGGCCGUUCCUCGGGGCAUGACGCUGGCUCCUGCACAGAUCCUGCUCCUCUGUGGCCUUCCUGGGCUGCCCUCCCCUCCUCCGGGACUGCUCUGGACUGACAUUGCUCAGAUUUUUACUCUUGUUGCCCAGGCUGGAGUGCAAUGGUGUGAUCUCGGCUCACUGCAACCUCCACCUCCCAGGUUCAAGCUAUUCUCCUGCCUCAGCCUCCUGAGUAGCUGGGAUUACAGAUCCUGGUGGCUGUGGUCGGUAAUUCCAGCUUCGUGCUGGCUACAGGUGGAUGAUGCCCACCUGGCUGCCGAUGACCUCUGCACCAAGUGAGGCUGGGUCUCUGGAGCUGCCCCAGGGGCUGGACAAGCUGACCCUGGCCGGGGCCAACCUGGA